rnacentral:rRNA from 1 species
AUACGGAGGGAGCAAGCGUUGUUCGGAAUCACUGGGCGUAAAGCGAGUGUAGGUUGUCAGGUAAGUAGGAUGUGAAAGCCCGGGGCUCAACCCCGGAAUUGCAUUCUAAACUGCCUGGCUAGAGUCCCGGAGAGGGAGGUGGAAUUCCGAGUGCAGAGGUGAAAUUCGUAGAUAUUCGGAGGAACACCAGAGGCGAAGGCGACCUCCUGGACGGUGACUGACACUGAGACUCGAAAGCGUGGGGAGCAAACAGGAUUAGAAACCCCAGUAGUCC